rnacentral:rRNA from 1 species
AGCACCGGCUAACUACGUGCCAGCAGCCGCGGUAAUACGUAGGGUGCAAGCGUUAUCCGGAAUUAUUGGGCGUAAAGGGCUCGUAGGCGGUUCGUCGCGUCCGGUGUGAAAGUCCAUCGCUUAACGGUGGAUCUGCGCCGGGUACGGGCGGGCUGGAGUGCGGUAGGGGAGACUGGAAUUCCCGGUGUAACGGUGGAAUGUGUAGAUAUCGGGAAGAACACCAAUGGCGAAGGCAGGUCUCUGGGCCGUUACUGACGCUGAGGAGCGAAAGCGUGGGGAGCGAACAGGAUUAGAUACCCUGGUAGUCCACGCCGUAAACGGUGGAUGCUGGAUGUGGGGCCCGUUCCACGGGUUCCGUGUCGGAGCUAACGCGUUAAGCAUCCCGCCUGGGGAGUACGGCCGCAAGGCUAAAACUCAAAGAAAUUGACGGGGGCCCGCACAAGCGGCGGAGCAUGCGGAUUAAUUCGAUGCAACGCGAAGAACCUUACCUGGGCUUGACAUGUUCCCGACGGUCGUAGAGAUACGGCUUCCCUUCGGGGCGGGUUCACAGGUGGUGCAUGGUCGUCGUCAGCUCGUGUCGUGAGAUGUUGGGUUAAGUCCCGCAACGAGCGCAACCCUCGCCCUGUGUUGCCAGCACGUCAUGGUGGGAACUCACGGGGGACCGCCGGGGUCAACUCGGAGGAAGGUGGGGAUGACGUCAGAUCAUCAUGCCCCUUACGUCCAGGGCUUCACGCAUGCUACAAUGGCCGGUACAACGGGAUGCGACACGGCGACGUGGAGCGGAUCCCUGAAAACCGGUCUCAGUUCGGAUUGGAGUCUGCAACCCGACUCCAUGAAGGCGGAGUCGCUAGUAAUCGCGGAUCAGCAACGCCGCGGUGAAUGCGUUCCCGGGCCUUGUACACACCGCCCGUCAAGUCAUGAAAGUGGGUAGCACCCGAAGCCGGUGGCCUAACCCUUUGUGGAUGGAGCCGUCUAAGGUGAGACUCGUGAUUGGGACUAAGUCGUAACAAGGUAGCCGUACCGGAAGGUGCGGCUG